UUUAAUUCCAAAGUUUACUCUUGUAAAGUCACCUGUUUGUUCAACUUUAAGAGUGCACUGAGAGAGAGGAGUAAUGAGCGGCACACUUCCUAGUAAACCCGUCUCGUGUGUGCAUUUUGCAAUUUUAUUACCACAAAUAUAUAUUUCUGCAUGAUUUCGAUAUAUUUUCUAGUCUGGCAACAUUUUAUAACGUCAUUAGUUUAGAGAAGGAUAAUAAUUUAAUAAUAAUAGUAAUUGGCCGUGUCUCAAUGCGAAGGCUGCAGCCUCCGGAGGUCGCAUUUCUCGGCUGCAUACGUCAUCAAAACUGUCUUGUUUCAGAAUAUUAACAAUUAUAAAGUUGACUGUUAUUCUAAGUUAAUAGUAAAUUGUUUAAUAUGCUUAUGACUUGCGAAUCUAAUGGUCAGUUAACUUAAAUAACCCAGGGUUGAUGACGUAUGGACCCUGCAUAUGCGAGUGCGACGACCUCCGCAGGCUGAAACCAGUCUCUCGAGCUGAAAGAAAACGCAGCUGAGGAGAUAUGAGACUGCAGACAAGAGCAAUCGACCAUCGUUCCAGGAAACUUCCACCUAAACAGAUGCUGAGGCCCAGAUUUCCCUGCCAAGCACUCCAAGGCUCAUCAUGCUCGGAGAGUCCAUUCUGGGGGCAAAAAAUGGAUGCUUUCCAUCGAGGGCAGAGUUCUCCUCCAAUUGAGUGACCGUUGUGAUUUCACUUCUGCUCUAGCCAUGUAUGAUGCAGCCACUACAUUGGAAUUUAUCCAGAGGGUAGAGUCCAGCCCAGGAAGUCAACUAGUUCAGGUCCAGUUUUAAAAGAAUAAUAGUUCUGAAAAAAAAAAACGUCUUGGAGAAAAACAAUAUUCAGGUUUGAAAUCCUGCUGUAAAUGUAAAUCAUUUAAUUUUUAUGCAUUUGUAAUUUACCAGAAACAUUUUAAUACAUAUUGAUUGUUUUGUGUGUUCAGAAAAGUGUUUUUGUAUGAAGUGUUGA